rnacentral:lncRNA from 1 species
UACAUUGAUUAUUCACAUAUAUAGUUACAAACAUGUGAGUUAUGUUCAAUUCUUCCUUUUCAUUUUUAGACAUUAUUCAUGGUCUAAAAUAGAAUUGAUCUUUUGUAAUUCAUUUUCAACUUCCUCAAUUUCCAUAUCAAUUCUUUGUAAUUCAGAUUGGACUCUUUUCUUAUCCGAUAUCAGUCGAUCUCUCGUUUUUUGACAGAACCGCUUUUGAUAGCCAUCC